AUUGAACGCUGGCGGCAUGCCUUACACAUGCAAGUCGAACGGUAACGCGGGGGCAACCCUGGCGACGAGUGGCGAACGGGUGAGUAAUACAUCGGAACGUACCCAGUAGUGGGGGAUAGCUCGGCGAAAGCCGGAUUAAUACCGCAUACGACCUAUGGGUGAAAGCGGGGGAUCGCAAGACCUCGCGCUAUUGGAGCGGCCGAUGUCGGAUUAGCUAGUUGGUGAGGUAAAGGCNCACCAAGGCUACGAUCCGUAGCUGGUCUGAGAGGACGACCAGCCACACUGGGACUGAGACACGGCCCAGACUCCUACGGGAGGCAGCAGUGGGGAAUUUUGGACAAUGGGCGAAAGCCUGAUCCAGCCAUGCCGCGUGUGUGAAGAAGGG
rnacentral:rRNA from 1 species